rnacentral:lncRNA from 1 species
GUGGAUGUAUUUAGCUAUCCCUGAGGCUGCUGCUCAGGGAGGCGUGGGAGGGAGGUGAUCCUCCCUAACACCCAAACACUGUGCUUCAGAGCGUGCUUCCUGGUGAAAUAAUCCUGCUCUGCAGACAGUCCAGGGAUCUGCAAACUGCUCCAGGCUGUAAGGAUUUCCUUCGGGAGGGAAGAUCA